rnacentral:rRNA from 1 species
GACGAACCGUGCGAACGUUGUUCGGAAUCACUGGGCUUAAAGGGCGCGUAGGCGGCCUGUUGCGUCCGCUGUGAAAGCCCGGGGCUUAACCCCGGGUCGGCAGUGGAUACGGGCAGGCUAGAGGUAGGUAGGGGAGAAUGGAAUUCCCGGUGUAGCGGUGAAAUGCGCAGAUAUCGGGAGGAACACCGGUGGCGAAGGCGGUUCUCUGGGACGGUACUGACGCUGAGACGCGAAAGCGUGGGGAGCGAACAGG